rnacentral:rRNA from 1 species
AAGACCUUGCGCUUUUGGAGCGGCCGAUGCCCGAUUAGCUUGUUGGUAAGGUAAAAGCUUACCAAGGCUUCGAUCAGUAGCUGGUCUGAGAGGACGGCCAGCCACACUGGGACUGAGACACGGCCCAGACUCCUACGGGAGGCAGCAGUGGGGAAUUUUGGACAAUGGGGGCAACCCUGAUCCAGCCAUGCCGCGUGAGUGAAGAAGGUCUUCGGGUUGUAAAGCUCUUUCAGCCGGAACGAAACGGUUACGGUUAAUACCCGUGAUUACUGACGGUACCGGAAGAAGAAGCACCGGCUAACUACGUGCCAGCAGCCGCGGUAAUACGUAGGGUGCGAGCGUUAAUCGGAAUUACUGGGCGUAAAGCGUGCGCAGGUGGUUUUGUAAGUCAGAUGUGAAAGCCCCGGGCUCAACCUGGGAACU